CUCCAUAGAGAAUGCCCGUUGGGAGACAUUCAUACCCAGCUCCCAACUAAUGAUUUUGUAAUGGAAUAAUCGUGAGUCUGCUCCUUGGUGGAGACUUUCACAUUAUAAUGGAACAGAAGUAACUGUUGGACAAGGGGAAGGUCAUUUCCUGCCAACCUGGCUUGCACAGGACCAUCCCAUUUAUCAGCUAUGCUGCUAUAUGUUUGAAACUGCUGCAUGUUUGAACUUCUCAGUUGAGAACACAGAAUGAAUUAUUCCUGGAUCCUGAUUCCAUGGAGAUAGGGAACUUUGCUCCAAGAGCAAGUGAUCAACUCUGAUCAAGUGGAAAUCCUUGCUUAGGUCAUAAUGCAAAAUUUAAAAAGCAGGAAAAUCUUAUAAAUAGAAGAUGACCUAAUUCUGUUAAAACCAAA